GUGUGUGUAGACGCAUCUUUAUUCGCUUAUGUCUGGUUGUUGUUGUUCUUGUAAAUGAUGGCUGACCUACUGAGUUAGCUCGUGGCUGCAGAGUUCCAGCUGAUAGUUUCCUGGUGCUAAUAACCUCGUAGUCGAAGCGCUUAAAGAAGGAAGAGAGGGAAAAUAUCAGUUGAAGGAACACAAGAAGAUUUUGUAAACAAAUGUGUGUCUGAAGAAUGUCUCAGAAAAAUAAUCUAUUUGAUGAUGGCUCUGAUGGAGAAGAAGAAACAUUACAAAUUAAUAAAACCUAUGCUGCAAAAUAUGAAGAAUGGAGAAGAGGAGAGGAACUGGAAAAGCUAAAAAAUUAUUUGGGGA